rnacentral:rRNA from 1 species
AACGAACGCUGGCGGCAUGCCUAACACAUGCAAGUCGAACGAUCCCUUCGGGGCUAGUGGCGCACGGGUGCGUAACGCGUGGGAACCUGCCCUUAGGUUCGGAAUAACUCAGAGAAAUUUGAGCUAAUACCGGAUAAUGUCUUCGGACCAAAGAUUUAUCGCCUUUGGAUGGGCCCGCGUUGGAUUAGCUAGUUGGUGGGGUAAAGGCCUACCAAGGCGACGAUCCAUAGCUGGUCUGAGAGGAUGAUCAGCCACACUGGGACUGAGACACGGCCCAGACCCCUACGGGAGGCAGCAGUGGGGAAUAUUGGACAAUGGGCGAAAGCCUGAUCCAGCAAUGCCGCGUGAGUGAUGAAGGCCUUAGGGUUGUAAAGCUCUUUUACCCGGGAUGAUAAUGACAGUACCGGGAGAAUAAGCCCCGGCUAACUCCGUG